CGUAGGUGAAAUCCAGCACCCUCAGUUCAGGAUCCUGAGUACGGCGACACACGUGAAACGUCGUCGGAAUCCGGGAGGACCAUCUCCCAAGGCUAAAUACUCCCUAGUGACCGAUAGUGAACCAGUACCGUGAGGGAAAGGUGAAAAGCACCCCGGAAGGGGAGUGAAACAGUUCCUGAAACCGUGUGCCUACAAGUAGUCAAAGCCCGUUAAUGGGUGAUGGCGUGCCUUUUGUAGAAUGAACCGGCGAGUUACGUUAGCUAGCGAGGUUAAGACGAAAAAGUCGGAGCCGGAGCGAAAGCGAGUCUGAAUAGGGCGAGUGAGUUAGUUGAUGUAGACCCGAAACCAAGUGACCUACCCAUGACCAGGUUGAAGGUGCGGUAAAACGCACUGGAGGACCGAACCCACUUAUGUUGAAAAAUGAGGGGAUGAGUUGUGGGUAGCGGUGAAAUUCCAAUCGAACUUGGAGAUAGCUGGUUCUCUCCGAAAUAGCUUUAGGGCUAGCCUCGGAAAAGCGGAUACUGGAGGUAGAGCACUGUUUGGAUGAUGGUCCCGUCUCGGGAUACUGAAUGCAGAUAAACUCCGAAUGCCAGAUAUUUGUUUCCGGGAGUCAGACUGCGAGUGAUAAGAUCCGUAGUCGAAAGGGGAACAGCCCAGAUCACCAGUUAAGGUCCCUAAAUCCAUGCUAAGUGGAAAAGGAUGUGAAGUUGCACAGACAACUAGGAUGUUGGCUCAGAAGCAGCCACCAUUUAAAGAGUGCGUAAUAGCUCACUAGUCGAGUGACUCUGCGCCGAAAAUGUACCGGGGCUAAGCAUGGUACCGAAACUGUGGGUGCGACCGUAAGGUCGUGCGAUAGGAGAGCGUUCUAAGGGCGGUGAAGGCAGAUCGUAAGGACUGCUGGAGCGCUUAGAAGUGAGAAUGCCGGCAUGAGUAACGAAAAGACAGGUGAGAAUCCUGUCCGCCGUAAGACUAAGGUUUCCUGGGGAAGGUUCGUCCGCCCAGGGUUAGUCGGGACCUAAGACGAGGCCGAAAGGCGUAGUCGAUGGCAAACAGGUGGAGAUUCCUGUACCAGCGCGUUAUGUUUGAACGAUGGAGGGACGCAGGAGGCUAAGGUAACCACGCCGCUGGACGAGCGUGGCCAAGCAGCAAGUCUGGGAGUGAGUGAAAUGCUUAUUCCCGUUAAGGACAAGCUGUGAUGGGGAGCGAAAUUAAGUAGCGAAGUACCUGACGUCACACUGCCGAGAAAAGCUUCUAGUGAGUAACGCGGUGCCCGUACCGCAAACCGACACAGGUAGUCGAGGAGAGUAUCCUCAGGCGCGCGAGAGAACCCUCGUUAAGGAACUCGGCAAAAUAACCCCGUAACUUCGGAAGAAGGGGUGCUGACCGCAAGGUCAGCCGCAGUGAAUAGGCCCAAACAACUGUUUAUCAAAAACACAGGUCUCUGCUAAAUCGAAAGAUGACGUAUAGGGGCUGACACCUGCCCGGUGCUGGAAGGUUAAGAGGAUCUGUUAGCGUAAGCGAAGCAGAGAAUUGAAGCCCCAGUAAACGGCGGCCGUAACUAUAACGGUCCUAAGGUAGCGAAAUUCCUUGUCGGGUAAGUUCCGACCCGCACGAAAGGUGUAAUGAUUUGGGCACUGUCUCAACGAGGGACUCGGUGAAAUUAUAUUACCCGUGAAGAUGCGGGUUACCCGCGACAGGACGGAAAGACCCCAUGGAGCUUUACUGUAGCUUGAUAUUGAGUGUCUGUACCGCAUGUACAGGAUAGGUAGGAGCCGUAGAAACCGGGACGCUAGUCUCGGUGGAGGCAUUGGUGGGAUACUACCCUUGCAGUGCGGCCACUCUAACCCGCGCCACUAAGCGUGGCGGGAGACAGUGUCAGGCAGGCAGUUUGACUGGGGCGGUCGCCUCCUAAAAAGUAACGGAGGCGCCCAAAGGUUCCCUCAGAAUGGUUGGAAAUCAUUCACAGAGUGUAAAGGCAGAAGGGAGCUUGACUGCGAGACAGACAGGUCGAGCAGGGACGAAAGUCGGGCUUAGUGAUCCGGUGGUACUGUAUGGAAAGGCCAUCGCUCAACGGACAAAAGCUACCCUGGGGAUAACAGGCUUAUCUCCCCCAAGAGUCCACAUCGACGGGGAGGUUUGGCACCUCGAUGUCGGCUCAUCGCAUCCUGGAGCUGAAGUUGGUUCCAAGGGUUGGGCUGUUCGCCCAUUA
rnacentral:ncRNA from 2 species